rnacentral:miRNA from 1 species
UGUGAAUGUGUGUGCAUGAAUACACGCAUGUACACACACACACACGUGUACACGCAUACACACACA